AGGGGCUUUUGGAAGUUAAAAACCUCUAAACUUUCGUGUUUGAUAAGAAAUGAGAAUCCAAAAUAAAAACUUUUAAUCUUCCUACACUCUUCUGUAAACAAAAACAGUUCCGACCCCAAAGUCGGACCUCAAAUCGGAAGUUCGUCUCCUUGGGUAACCCUAGCGUCCUCUUUUCUCGUCUUCGCCGGUGAGCACCCCUCUCUUUGCAGCUUCCCAUCUUCGCCGCUGAGCACCCCUCUCUUCGCAGCUUCCCAUCUUCGCCGCUGAGAAAUCCAGACAUACAAAGUAACCCCCAUUAAAUGCCCACGCUCCUCUCUCUCUCUCUCUACUAAAAUUUCUCUUUCUCUCUCAUGGUUUCCAUUUGCUCACACCGCAUGUGCCAGAAGAAGCUUGCUCCAGUGACUAGGGUUGUUUUCUGUUUCCUCCGUUAAGAUCACGGCCAAACUUACAGAAGUGGCACAAGAUCUGGGCAGAGGAAUUCAUAUAUUCACAAACUCGGCUUUUAUACCAUUUGAUGGGACCUUGACUUCUAUACCAUUUUUUUUGGUAUGGAUUAUAGGCCGGUUUGGAAACCAAAUUGUAUUUUUAUUAUGUGGUGUUAGUGGUGGACAUAUGACAAAUGUAACUCUUGCCAAGGGGAUAAAAACCUGUCUUUUCUCUAAUCCAAUAUAGAUACCUAGUUCUUCUUUAA